rnacentral:rRNA from 1 species
AACGAACGCUGGCGGCAUGCCUAACACAUGCAAGUCGAACGAGACCUUCGGGUCUAGUAGCGCACGGGUGCGUAACGCGUGGGAAUCCGCCCUCUGGUACGGAAUAACUCAGGGAAACUUGAGCUAAUACCGUAUAAUGACUUCGGUCCAAAGAUUUAUCGCCUGAGGAUGAGCCCGCGUCGGAUUAGCUAGUUGGUGAGGUAAAAGCUCACCAAGGCGACGAUCCGUAGCUGGUCUGAGAGGAUGAUCAGCCACACUGGGACUGAGACACGGCCCAGACUCCUACGGGAGGCAGCAGUGGGGAAUAUUGGACAAUGGGCGAAAGCCUGAUCCAGCAAUGCCGCGUGAGUGAUGAAGGCCUUAGGGUUGUAAAGCUCUUUUACCCGGGAUGAUAAUGACAGUACCGGGAGAAUAAGCCCCGGCUAACUCCGUGCCAGCCGCCGCAGUAAGAC